UACGUAGGUGGCGAGCGUUGUCCGGAUUUACUGGGCGUAAAGGGAGCGUAGGCGGAUUUUUAAGUGAGAUGUGAAAUACUCGGGCUCAACUUGAGUGCUGCAUUUCAAACUGGAAGUCUAGAGUGCAGGAGAGGAGAAUGGAACUCCUAGUGUAGCGGUGAAAUGCGUAGAGAUUAGGAAGAACACCAGUGGCGAAGGCGAUUCUCUGGACUGUAACUGACGCUGAGGCUCGAAAGCGUGGGGAGCAAACAGG
rnacentral:rRNA from 1 species